AGUCAGUGGAGGUGGAAUAGACUAGACUAAUCUUGUAGCGGGGUCUCCGGCCGCCUCUACCACCGAGGCGAGCACGCCCCUGCCGGCCUGCUCUGUCGUCGGUGAGCACGCGCAGCGGCCCGAAGAGGCGCGUACUCGCGGGGCAAAGUGCGCCAGCGACCCGAGGUGCCUUGGUAUAGAAUGAAGUGAAGAGAGCAGAGUAUCUUGGUCGUACUAAUCAAUUCAUCAUAUUAUGUGCGCAAUAAGAUUUUGCUAUGCUUUCACCGUUGAUGCCCACUGGUUGGAUCAUGCUUCUGUUUAUGAGCUCAUUGAAGUAACUCUCUCGUAGCUCAAAUGGGCCAAUUUCUCGUUUGUGUGGCACACAAAACCUUCAGCUAUCCAUCUCCAUAUCAGUUGGUCUCUCUUAAUUUUGUUAUCUUCUGGAAAUAUGCUUACGUAUAAUAAAUGAUGCGAAGGUAGAUCAUAGAAACAUGAACACAAUUCUUAAUCUAAAGCAAGAUGGUGUAGGCUACUUUUUGUGAUUCAACACAAAUAGCAGGCAUACAUGCACCAAUACUAAGAAAAUUAGCAAAGAAAAUGAGUAAAAGAGGCACUUGACUUGUAGAUUAUAAAAGAGUGAUGAUCUAGAAGUCAACCCUCUUUUACCAGUAGUUUUGAUCUACCUUCUCAUCCAUAGGAUUAGUUAUUAUGUCUAAGCAUGUUUUUAGAAGAUUAGAAUAUUAAGCAAGCUCAUUCGAUAUGUAAGGUGGAUAGUUUGAGGUUUUGUUUAUCAUGAAAAACAAGGGAUUAGCAAGUUUGAGCUCGGUGGUAGAAUUGCUUAGUGAGAUCGUGAAUAGGAGCAUGAUUCAACCAAUUGACAUCAAUGUUGAUAAAGGCAUGGAAAAAUCUUAUUGUAUACAUGAUAUGGUGAUUGAUUUCAUAUGCUGAAGAACCCUUGCAUGGCACUGAGUGAAAGCCUUCUAUCCAAAGGCGGCAAGAUGUGAAGAUUAUCCAUCCGAAAGAGCAUGACAGGUAGCAGCUAUGUCACAAUGAGGUCUGUUGCAAUUGUUGAUUGGGUGUAGCUUGUUGAGUGCUCCAAGUUCUACAUGCCCUGGAUUUAGAAUAUUGUGCUGCAUGUCUCCAUUCUUGGCAGUCACAAUGAUUCAAGAAUACUGUGUUUGCAAUGACAUGAAGCUCCUAUUGUAUUUCUACCAACUAGUGCUGAAUUAGUCACGAGUCUCUUGGUGUAUUUGUACCCACUGAUGCUGAAUUAUAGUUCGAGUCAAGAACUGUCAAAGUUCUGUGUCGGCUCCUGCCGUUAGCUCAUGAGGAACUUGUUUACCCUAUUCCUUUAUUUUGAUGCUGGCUUGUUAUACAUUGUGUCUCUUUUCUUUAUAGCAGUAGCAGCUUUUGAAGUCUUCUUGCUCUGCUCUUUGUAUGAAAUGUAAGGUAAUUGUUCUGAAAUGAUAUGUAUAUGUUACUUUUGUAGGUAAAAUUACAUGUACAGUACCAACGUCUUCAACUGUUAUUUUCUUUCUGACUGCCAUCAGUGGCAGGAUCACAAGUGAGGCCGUGCAAUGUCCGUGCUUAUCUACUUGUUAAGCCGUUUGAGGAUAUUGGUCCUGCAUGCUUUCCAUUUUUGCUAAGUAGUUUUUGCUAAUCGAGGCGGCAUGAGAGGCUGAGGCUCUAGAGCACUGCAUUUGCCUUGUUUUGAUUUGUAUUUCUUCUGUAGUAGGGGCAUUAAGUUCUAAUUGAGAUUGUAUUGCAGUCAGUUCAGUUUAUAGUACAAUUUUUCAAACAGUUCAGUUUAUAAUAAGACAUGAAGUUGUAAUUGAGAUACGAUUUAAUUUAGCC
rnacentral:rRNA from 1 species